rnacentral:lncRNA from 1 species
GACUCUUUAAAUAGGAAUUAGCCCUACUCAGUUUUUACUUGUUUUAGGAUUCAUAUUUUUGCAGCAUUAUUUACAUUUUAUACAUUGGUAUAAUAUGAUGUAUGAUUAUUUACCUUAAUAUUUUUAUAAUUUGUUUUAUGCAAUAAUGUGACCUGUGAAUUUUUUUUAUAUCAAAAUGUGACAUGCUCGAUUUAAAUGGUGAUAGCUAUAAAAUUUGGAAGGAGAGAAUUAUUUUUCAUUUAGGGUGGAUGGACAUUGAUUACGCUAUUCGUAAAGAUGAACCACCAACACCUGUUGCUAUUAGCUCUCAAGCUGAAAUUGCUCUUUAUGAACUAUGGGAGCGAUCUAAUUGCCUUAGUAUGAUGUUCACAAAGACAAAAAUUUAUGAUAGCUGUAAUACUCAAUUAUUGCCCGGGCCCAACUAAGCCUAAGGCCCAAAAUCCUAAAGCCCAAUGACCCAAUACACCAAACCAAAAACUACAAGCCCAAAUAAUUAAUCCAAUUACAGCCCAAUACCAACGGCCCAAAUACAUUUGGCUCAAUUGGCCCAAAAUUACCCCUAGCCCACAACAUGUAUUCAGCAGCAACGGAAGCAGAAGCCCUAGGGCGCGCCGCACGUUCUCCAUCUGCAGCAACGGUUCCAUCACCCCACAACGCAAUCACCCACGUUCAGCAAUCCCUUGCGUCUACUAGGCACGUUCGUUCUACAAACGAACCACGAACAACAAGAUAUACACGCAGCAAAACAAUUGUAAAAGGAUUGAGUGAGGGCUAUAUAAAGGCCAAUUGAAUCUGUAAUGAAAAAAAAAAAGAAAAAGAAGAAAAAAAAACAAAUUUUGUAUUGAAAGUUAAAGAAAAUAAAAGAGAAAAACAGAAAGGCAUUUUUUUUAAGGUGACAGAUUUUGGUUCUCUUUUUCUAUUGUUUUUUACUGUUUCUAUUUUUUUUUGUUUUUUUUUAUUUCUUAAAACAAAAAAUAAAGAGAAGAAGGAAGGAAGGCUUACCGUCGUGAGAUUCGUCGAAAGGCAACCUCGCUUCGUCGUUUCAUAGUCGGAAAUAGGAGAGGACUGGAAUGGUGGAGUAGAUGGAGAGCUGCGGCACAUUUGUGGGGUGGCUGAAGAAGUGAUUUUUAGGGUUUUAAAAUUGGCUUUUAUAGGGCAUUCUUAAAAAUGGAUAAUUUUUG